rnacentral:rRNA from 1 species
GACGAACGCUGGCGGCGUGCUUAACACAUGCAAGUCGAACGAAGUGGCGAACGGGUGAGUAACGCGUAAUCAACCUGCCCUUCAGAGGGGGACAACAGUUGGAAACGACUGCUAAUACCGCAUACUGAAGGAGGGGAUGGCGCCUGAUUAGCUAGUUGGGGGGGUAACGGCCCACCAAGGCGAUGAUCAGUAGCCGGGCUUGGAGGAUGAACGGCCAAAUUGGGAAUGGGACACGGCCCAGGAUCCCUCGGGAGGCAGCAGUGGGGAAUCUUCCGCAAUGGACGAAAGGCUGACGGAGCAACGCCGGGGGGGUGAUGACGGCCUUCGGGUUGUAAAGCUCUGUUAAUCGGGACGCGGUACCGGAAUAGAAAGCCACGGCUAACUACGUGCCAGCAGCCGCGGUAAUUC